rnacentral:rRNA from 1 species
AACGAACGCUGGCGGCAGGCCUAACACAUGCAAGUCGAACGCCGUAGCAAUACGGAGUGGCAGACGGGUGAGUAACACGUGGGAACGUACCCUUCGGUUCGGGAUAACUCAGGGAAACUUGAGCUAAUACCGGAUAAGUCCGAGAGGAGAAAGAUUUAUCGCCGAGGGAUCGGCCCGCGUCUGAUUAGCUUGUUGGUGAGGUAACGGCUCACCAAGGCGACGAUCAGUAGCUGGUCNGAGAGGAUGAUCAGCCACAUUGGGACUGAGACACGGCCCAAACUCCUACGGGAGGCAGCAGUGGGGAAUAUUGGACAAUGGGCGCAAGCCUGAUCCAGCCAUGCCGCGUGAGUGAUGAAGGCCCUAGGGUUGUAAAGCUCUUUUGUGCGGGAAGAUAAUGACGGUACCGCAAGAAUAAGCCCCGGCUAACUUCGUGCCAGCCGCCGCCGUAAC